CGCGUGUGUGUAUGUAGGGUGUAUUAGUGUUCAGUGAAAGAGAUAUUGUAUUAGUAUAGUAAGGGUACAAGCAAUUUUGGGUAAUGUUGGAUUGUCUAAUCGCCAGGAUGAGAGACGUACAGGUGCGCGUGCGUAUGCGUGUGUGUAUGUAGGAUGUAAGUGUGCAUGGGUGUGUACGCAGGGUGGAUUACGAUUAGGGUUUAUUUUAGAUUAGCGAGGACGCUAAAGUCGAUGGCUUAUAGAAGCCAUCGUCUUGGAGGAAAGGAAGGUAAUGUAAAGUAUGGUUUGCAGAUGUUACAAAUAGUAGU